rnacentral:rRNA from 1 species
GCAGUCGAACGGUAACAGGUCUUCGGAUGCUGACGAGUGGCGAACGGGUGAGUAAUACAUCGGAACGUGCCCGAUCGUGGGGGAUAACGAGGCGAAAGCUUUGCUAAUACCGCAUACGAUCUACGGAUGAAAGCGGGGGAUCUUCGGACCUCGCGCGGACGGAGCGGCCGAUGGCAGAUUAGGUAGUUGGUGGGAUAAAAGCUUACCAAGCCGACGAUCUGUAGCUGGUCUGAGAGGAUGAUCAGCCACACUGGGACUGAGACGCGGCCCAGACUCCUACGGGAGGCAGCAGUGGGGAAUUUUGGACAAUGGGGGAAACCCUGAUCCAGCCAUGCCGCGUGCAGGAUGAAGGCCUUCGGGUUGUAAACUGCUUUUGUACAGAACGAAAAGGUUUCGGUUAAUACCUGGAGCCCAUGACGGUACUGUAAGAAUAAGCACCGGCUAACUACGUGCCAGCAGCCGCGGUAAUACGUAGGGUGCAAGCGUUAAUCGGAAUUACUGGGCGUAAAGCGUGCGCAGGCGGUUAUGUAAGACAGAUGUGAAAUCCCCGGGCUCAACCUGGGAACUGCAUUUGUGACUGCAUAGCUUGAGUGCGGCAGAGGGGGAUGGAAUUCCGCGUGUAGCAGUGAAAUGCGUAGAUAUGCGGAGGAACACCGAUGGCGAAGGCAAUCCCCUGGGCCUGCACUGACGCUCAUGCACGAAAGCGUGGGGAGCAAACAGGAUUAGAUACCCUGGUAGUCCACGCCCUAAACGAUGUCAACUGGUUGUUGGGUCUUCAUUGACUCAGUAACGAAGCUAACGCGUGAAGUUGACCGCCUGGGGAGUACGGCCGCAAG